rnacentral:rRNA from 1 species
AGAGUUUGAUCCUGGCUCAGGACGAACGCUGGCGGCGUGCUUAACACAUGCAAGUCUACGAGAAAGAGGUAGCAAUAUCUCAAGUAAAGUGGCGCAAGGGUGAGUAAUAUGUAAGUAAUCUACCUAUGGGUUCGGAAUAACGUCGAGAAAUCGGCGCUAAUACCGAAUAAUGCAGCGGCAUCGCAUGAUGAUGUUGUUAAAGUUGUCCCGACUUGUCGGGAUAACUCCUAUAGAUGAGCUUGCAUCUGAUUAGCUAGUUGGUAGGGUAAUUGCCUACCAAGGCUACGAUCAGUAGCUGGUCUGAGAGGAUGAUCAGCCACACUGGAACUGAGACACGGUCCAGACUCCUACGGGAGGCAGCAGUGAGGAAUAUUGGGCAAUGGACGGAAGUCUGACCCAGCAACGCCGCGUGGAGGAUGAAUGCCGUAAGGUUGUAAACUCC